CAGACGAUGCGUCAUGCAUAUCAAUAAGCGGAGGAAAAGAAACUAACUAGGAUUCCCUUAGUAACGGCGAGUGUAGCGGGAAGAGCUCAAAUUUGAAAUCUUCAAGGUUCUACCUUGACGAAUUGUAGUUUAAAGAAGUGUUUUCUGUUAGUGAAGUUGGCUAAAAGUUCUUUGGAAUAGGACAUCAUAGAGGAGUGAGAAUCCCGUAUUUGACCAUUAUUUUCAGCUGUGUGAUACACUUUCAAAGAGUCGGAUUGUUUGGGAAUGCAGUCCAAAAUGGGUGGUAAAUUUCAUCUAAAGCUAAAUAUUGGCGAGAGACCGAUAGCGAACAAGUACCGUGAGGGAAAGAUGAAAAGAACUUUGAAAAGAGAGUUAAACAGUACGUGAAAUUGUCAAAAGGGAAGCGUUUGACACCAGUGUUGUUUUCUCGAAAAUCAAUUAAAAAGAGUUGGAUUUUGUGUUGUAUUGACCUUAACAGCUUGCUUCACUCUUUUCCUGCUUUUUUUAAUGCACUUUUCGUUUAACAAGUCAACAUCAGUUUCUUUUGUUGUAAAAGGGUCAUUGGAAGGUGGCUUUCUCUUCGGAGAAAGUGUUUAUAGCCUUUGAUCUCUGCAAUCGGAGAGACUGAGGUCUGCAGCGUAGAUCCUUCGGGGUUAGAUACAUUUGUGCUAAGCUACAGCUUUUCAUAGACAACUUGUUGACUAUGUUUAGUCUUGUAACUUACCCGCUUAUGCUAUUUUACCUACGCUUAGGAUGUUGAUAUGCAUGACUGAUAU
rnacentral:rRNA from 1 species